ACUGAAUACAUUUCACUAGUGUUUUGACUUCUCAUGUAUUUUUCUAUGUUCUGUUUUUAAAAUUUUUUUUCAAAAAUUUUAAAGCCCACUGCUCAAUUCUAUAAGCAUUUUUGUCUAUUCUAGAUAUUAUCUAUGUUUCUUCCAGAUCUCCAGGAUCACUAUGUGGAUUUGUGCUGGUCUGUAUACUGGGUGGUAUCCAUGGAGAUCUGUAGGCCUCUGACCCAGCCAAAGGGAAGGGGGAGUUAGAUUAAGAUUGGAUGACAUUUAUGCAGAUGGUACUAUUAGAAGUUAAGGAAGUACCUGAGGACACUUGAGGGGUUAAAGUUGCUUCAGUUAAGCCUUAUCAGAUUCAUUAAAAAGAAGAGGAAGGAUCUCUUUUCCAGGUACUUUAAAUGAGAAAGGUGUGUGUUCUGAGACAUCCUUGCCUCUUUUUCAAAGGACGUAAGAAGCAGAUUGAUUCAUAUAAACAAGAGUGAAGGGCAAAGACGAAGUCAAUGAAAAGUUGAAAAUGGGGAGUUAGAUGAGACUGCAGAGGCUAA